CCUACGGGGGGCAGCAGUGGGGAAUAUUGGACAAUGGGGGCAACCCUGAUCCAGCCAUGCCGCGUGUGUGAAGAAGGCCCUCGGGUUGUAAAGCACUUUCAGUGAGGAAGAACGCCUGGUGGUUAAUACCCAUCAGGAAAGACAUCACUCACAGAAGAAGCACCGGCUAACUCCGUGCCAGCAGCCGCGGUAAUACGGAGGGUGCGAGCGUUAAUCGGAAUUACUGGGCGUAAAGCGCGCGUAGGUGGCUUGAUAAGCCGGUUGUGAAAGCCCCGGGCUCAACCUGGGAACGGCAUCCGGAACUGUCAGGCUAGAGUGCAGGAGAGGAAGGUAGAAUUCCCGGUGUAGCGGUGAAAUGCGUAGAGAUCGGGAGGAAUACCAGUGGCGAAGGCGGCCUUCUGGACUGACACUGACACUGAGGUGCGAAAGCGUGGGUAGCAAACAGGAUUAGAUACCCGGGUAGUC
rnacentral:rRNA from 1 species